CCUACGGGUGGCAGCAGUGAGGAAUAUUGGUCAAUGGACGAGAGUCUGAACCAGCCAUGCAGCGUGUAUGAUGCCUGCCCUCUGAGUUGUAAACUCCUUCUAUAAAGGCAUCAAUCGAGUCACGUAUGCCCUUUUGCAUGUACUUUAUGAAUAAGGAUCGCCUAACUCCGCGCCAGCAGCCGCGGUAAUGCGGAGGAUCCGAGCGUUAUAAGGAUUUAUUGGGUUUAAAGGGAGCGUAGAUGGGUUGUUAAGUCAGAUGUGAAAGUUUGCGGCUCAACCGUGAAAUUGCAAUUGAUACUGGCAGUCUUGAGUACAGUUGAGGUAGGCGGAAUUCGUGGUGUAGCGGUGAAAUGCGUAGAUAUCGGGAAGAACACCGAUUGCGAAGGCAGCUUACUAAACUGUGACUGACAUUGAUGCUCGAAAGUGUGGGUAUCAAACAGGAUUAGAGACCCGGGUAGUC
rnacentral:rRNA from 1 species